ensembl:snRNA U6 U6 spliceosomal RNA
GUGUUCGCAUCAGCAGCACAGACACUAAAAUUGGAGCAAUACAGACAUUAGCAUGGCCCCUGUACAAGAAUGACAGGCAAUCCCAUGAAGCGUCCCAUAUUUUU